rnacentral:tRNA from 1 species
GCUAUUAUGGUCCAACGGUUAAGACAUCAGUUUGUGGCACUGAAGACCGAGGUUCGACUCCUCGUAAUGGCA